rnacentral:rRNA from 1 species
UACGAAGGGGCUAGCGUUGCUCGGAAUUACUGGGCGUAAAGGGCGCGUAGGCGGCACUGUUAGUCAGGCGUGAAAUUCCUGGGCUCAACCUGGGGACUGCGCUUGAUACGGCAGAGCUUGAGGAUGGAAGAGGGUCGCGGAAUUCCCAGUGUAGAGGUGAAAUUCGUAGAUAUUGGGAAGAACACCGGUGGCGAAGGCGGCGACCUGGUCCAUUCUGACGCUGAGGCGCGACAGCGUGGGGAGCAAACAGGAUUAGAAACC